AUUUGGGGGCUCGUCAGGGAUUUCUCCAGACAGGUAAGAAAUAAAAUGCUUAAGUGCAUCUUACUGUCUGUUGAGAAAUUUAUCCUUAAAUUUCCGUGCCGCGAUUUUUGCCAUAUUUGGUAAAAGUUGGUUAUCCUCGUAUUUGAAUAAAUAUGGGAAGGACAAAAAAGAGGAUUGAUCACCCUUUUUGUCAUUAGUGUUAUCCUCACGUUUUUGAGCGUGGGAAGAAGGAAUAGAUGAUUAUAUGUGUGAAGAGAUUUUAUUUCUUUUCCUGGUUUUCCUAUUCCUUAGGAUAUCUCUCAGUCCUUUUUCACGAUUGAAUGAAUUUUGAAUGAUUUUAAAGAAAAUGGUGUUGUCGUUGCAAGGCAUUAACUUGAACUUCUAAAUUAAAUCUUUAAAAUUUGCAUUAAAAAAUUUGAUCUGGACAGGAGACAGAAUAUUAGAGCUACAAAUAAGAAUUAAAGUUCUUUGAUUCAGUGAAGUUAUGAAGCAGAUCAUGUUCUGUCCCUCCUGUGAUAGACUGAGGGGCUGCUGAUCUUAAAAGCAGCUGUAUGUGAAAUUCAUGGUGAAUUAGGAGUCAAAUAUCAAAAUUCUGUUGAUUAGAUAUUUGACAAUGGGUGAUAGCGCAAAUAUGUGCAAUUGUUUUUAGAUAUUUUGGCUGAUUAGACUUAUGAGAUUUUGAUUUGAGUCUUGGCUUAGAUAUAGGUUAAAGACCAUACUUUAAAUGAAAUAAUCUCAAGAGUUAAAUAGAGAAACAAAUAAAUAGGACAAUAUUAAAUUAAUAUAAAAGAUACAGUAUAAUCCUGUUAUGUACAGACAUCUGUAUUUGUACUCGUUAUCCCUGGGAGACAGUAUGAAAAUUGAUGUAUGGCAGAGAUUUUAAGAUUUUGUUAUUUGAAGAAUAACUUCUGCAUUGUGUUGAAUGAGAUCAAGAUUGGGAGACUAAUUUAAUUAGAUGUUUUGAGCUCAACAUAAAAAGAAAAAAUAUUUUUGACGGUUGCCAACUUAUAUUUAGUAUUACUAGAUUGAGAUUGAAGUCUGACUUUAUAACAGAAUACAUUAUGCUGAUGAAUUUGUGAGGAUUAUUUAUUUGUAGUGAUCUCAGAUAUAUUUCAGAGUAGCUUAUUGCUCUUUUCUGCAUUCUGCAAAGAAGAAAUUGCUUGCUUUUUCUGCAAAGAAGAACUUGCUUUAUUAAAAUAAAAAUGAGGAACUGCUAUUGUCAUCCAGAUGAUAAAAUUAAGAGACAUUUGAAAGAGGUAAUUAAAAAGCAAAUCAGAAUGCUCAUAUACAAUUGUGGUUGGAAUUUACAUGCGGCUCUCUCUUGAGUGUUCAUUUUUUAGAAAGCAGACCAUGGCUUCUGGGAUGUUGCCAAAUAAAAAACAACUAUGCUGUGCUGAGGGAGAGAGAAGACGGCACACGGCUGGAUGGACCAUCAGCUCCACCCCUGAAAGAGAAAAUUGAUACUGUAUCUCAGAGGGGCUGGACUUGGAGAAAUGACAAUGCAACAAGAUGCCCUGAGAAGAAAGACAGAGACACAACUGCAUCUUCCAGACCUCCAGUGCUCUCAUCAGAUCCUCAUCACAGACUGACAAAGUUCACUGGAUGAAGAGAACGACAUGUGAAAAUGAAAGACUCUUUCAGAAGGUCCAGUGCUACAGAACAGCAGUCCUACAGAAAUCUCAGAACUACCAGAUGAAUCUGAGAAAAGUAACGCAUUCAACUGACUGAAGAUCAAGCAAGACUUCUAUCCCUUCCCUUGUGUGCAGGUAUAAGGUACGAGUAGAUGCUGUCAGGAGAUUGAAUGCGGUAUCUUCAUAGAACCAAAUUUGACUGACACCUGCUUGUGACCACAAGAGAAGACUAUCUGAGUGGUGGAGCGAGAUCCAUGAGCACACUAGUGCAGUGCUCAAAAGUGGAACACCCUGAGUUCACACCAGGUGUGCCUCUAACCCUGGCAGAGGCAGAAGAGUUCCUUAGGGGGACCAACGAGGAGAUUGAGCAGACUCAACUGGUGGCUUAAAAGCCCGCUGUUUGCUCCAACUGAUCAAGAGCAUCCAAGAACAGAUGAAGGAUCGACGAGCACCACAGUGCUUAGCAGCAAAAAGAGAAAUUCAACAGAAACUGAUUAAAUCACCCUGAUGCUGAAGCAUAGAACGAAGACAUUUAGAUGCGGAAGAGGACAAAAUAGUUGUCUACAGUGAAUUUUUAUCCACUGUUGUAGAAUAUAGUAAAAAGCUUAUUGAAGGUCAAGGAAAGUGAUUAAGUGUUGUGAGGAAAAGUCAUGCUAUGAUUAAGUGAUCAUUUUAUGAUCAAAUGGGGGAACUGAUAGAUUUUCUUAUCAGCCUGACUUUUCUUUCCUUGUUUCUCCCUGUUUUCCCUCACCUGGUCUUCACGGAUGCAAGGGUAGAACGGAGACUGGUUGUUAUGGUUUCGUCACACAUCUGGUUUUAAUGUACACAAUGUAUAUGUUUGUGUGUUUCUUGGAAAGCAGCCAAGAAAGGGUCCCUGCUUUUUAGGCCUUACUGGAGCCCAAGGCAGGCAGGGGCACUGGACCAGAUGUUGACCAUAUUUAGACUUGUUUUUCUAUAUGUACCACAUUCCUAUAUCAUGAAAGUAUAUUCUCAUUGGACAAUUGUUACACCACCCCCCUGAACAUGUUUAAAAGCCCUGUACUGAAGUAAGUCUGGGAGGAGGUUUUGUGAACGGAUUGGCUUCAUGUUCAUGACUCUUUCCCAUAGGCCUAUGCAUUCAAUGAGUGAAAAA